rnacentral:lncRNA from 1 species
GGCCAUAAAACUCCCCAUCAUUCCUCACACAUCAAAUCAUAAAUCAAAAUCAUUGUUCCAAAACAGUACUUCUGCGAUUGUAGUUUCAGAUCUAGGGUUUCCAACAUCUUCUUGAGGUAAAAGAUUGUCGGCGGGAGAGAAUUGUAUUCUACAUUAAUCCAGGUUAACUAUAGCUGGGGUAAUAAAAGGGAGGUGACAGAAGAGAGUGAGCACACAUGGAGUUUUCUUGCAUUGAUAUAUAUAUAUAUGCUUGAAGCUAUGCGUGCUCGCUGCUCUAUCUGUCACCCCACCACUGUCUCUCUCUAUAUAUUUCUUUAUGUUUUAUAUAUGUGCGCAUCUGUGUUUAUGAACAUAUGGUAUUAUUGGUAUGGUAUUCAGGAGCAGAACUAUAGGCUGAAAGGUUUUAUCUUAAUCCCCUUCGCCCAAAAAUUAAAGGUGACAGAAGAGAGUGAACACACAUGGUGUUUUCUGGCAUAUGAUAUACUUGAAGCUAUGUGUACUCACUGCUCUAUCUGUCACCCCCACCACUCUCUCUCUCUUCUUCUCUCUCUAGAUUUCUUUAUGUUUUAUAUGUAUUUUCAUUUGCAUUUAUUUAUGAAAAAUGCUUUGUCUGUUGGUUUAUCCGCUCUUUGGUGAUUUCUUGCCUUUACAGUACAAGUUAGUUUUCUACUUCAAGAAUUGGAAUUUAUUGUAGUCCUUUGAUUGAUUUUCUACUAUGCGAUUUUCUAUUUUUUUUUUUAACACAAAUAUGAAUUUAUCACUAUAUAAGAUGAAAAGUUGAGUACUUGGUGUUUUAAUUUGUUUUUAAAUAUCUUGAUCAGUGACCAAUAGUAUUCAAGAUUAGUUAUUCACACAUGCAGUGACUUCCAUAAUGGCAAAGAAGACCUCAUCAAUCCAAAGGAAAGUUGAAGUGGAACUUUGUUGAUGUUAUUUUAGUGGUUAAAUUUGACUUGUCCUGGCUAAAAACUACGAUGUUAUUUCUACUACUGUUCUUUUGCUAUUAAACAGGAACAAUAAGAAGGGAAAUCAUGGCUUACGACAUCCAACAUUAAUGAGCAAUGCUUUAAAAAAGUCAUCUUGGUACUCCAUCGGAAAUGGAAAACUCAUUGGUCAAUUCGGUUGUUGCAUGUUUGCAAUAGUAGAAUUCUAGAUUCAAUCAUUUUCAAGAUCCCCUCUUUGAUUGAUACAAGUCUUAAAGUGGGAUACAACUCAAUCGGGUUUCUUUAUUUCCUCUAGGGGCUAGGUACGGCUGCAUUCAAUAGGUUUAUCUUAAAUCUUAUACUAGUUUUUUGGAUACGCUCGAUACACACGUGUAUCUCUAAAUUAGUAUUAAUCGGUGAAAGAAA